GGAGCCCAUCCUAUCAGCUCCAGCCGCCCCCAAGGAUAAGCAGUGAUAUGAACACUUACUUAAGAUAAAGCUUGCCUGCUCAGAAUAAACCCUGAAGGCUGGACCAAGGCCGCCCAAAUCCACUGCUAAUUAUUCGUUUUGGAAAUAAUGGAGAUGACAAAGUCCCUGUCCCUGAGGAGAAAUAAACGACAGGUUUACUUCCAUGGCAGGGACUUCUCCCAUGCACGCGGCCCGGCAGGGAGCUAGAGGAGACGGGAUUGGAAACUCAGUGAACAAAUGUAGAAAAAUGAUCGCAGGAGAAGACGCACCACCACUGAGCUCCCUCCCAGCACUCGCCCUUGCUGCAGACACUCUUACUCCACCGCGCUUGCCGCUUCCGAAGCAUUUCUGGAGGUCCUCUGCCCUGAGCGUCUACUUGUGCUGCUGUGUUACCUUCCGUGGCCAGUGUGACCUUGGGGAGCAGCCUGGAAUCCCGUGGCACCAGAGCCGGUGAACAGGGCGGGGAGGAC